CGCGAGCAUCUACAACAGUCAAGUUAUGAAGGGCUUACGGUGGAUGCCUUGGCGCCAGGAGCCGAUGAAGGACGUGUCAGGCUGCGAAAAGCUUCGGGGAGCUGCCGAGAGAGCUUUGAUCCGGAGAUGUCCGAAUGGGGAAACCCGGCCGGGGUCAUGCCCGGUCACCCGUCGCUGAACACAUAGGCGAUGAGGAGGGAACCGCCCGAAGUGAAACAUCUCAGUAGGGCGAGGAAGAGAAAGCAACCGCGACUCCCCUAGUAGCGGCGAGCGAACGGGGAACAGCCUAAACCGGUGCGGUGGAAAGCCCGACGGCGUUGCCGUGCCGGUGUCGUGGGACCCACAAGGAUCCUCGUCGGAAGAUCCAAGGAGUGACAAAACCGAUAUCUAGACGAAGGCCAUGGAAAGGGCCGCCGCAGAAGGUAACAGCCCUGUAGUCGAAAGGUGAUCGGUCUCCUCGUGGGGAUCCCGAGUAGCACGGGACCCCUGAAAUCCCGUGUGAAUCUGGGGGGCCCACCCCCUAAGGCUAAGCACUCCCUGGCGACCGAUAGUGAACCAGUACCGUGAGGGAAAG
rnacentral:rRNA from 1 species